rnacentral:rRNA from 1 species
AUGCAAGUCGAACGGGCCGGGGGCAACUCCGGUCAGUGGCGAACGGGUGAGUAAUACAUCGGAACGUACCUCGUAGUGGGGGAUAACUCGGCGAAAGCCGUGCUAAUACCGCAUAUGCUCUACGGAGGAAAGCAGGGGACCGCAAGGCCUUGUGCUAUGGGAGCGGCCGAUGUCCGAUUAGCUAGUUGGUGGGGUAAUGGCCCACCAAGGCGACGAUCGGUAGCUGGUCUGAGAGGAUGAUCAGCCACACUGGGACUGAGACACGGCCCAGACUCCUACGGGAGGCAGCAGUGGGGAAUUUUGGACAAUGGGGGCAACCCUGAUCCAGCCAUGCCGCGUGCGGGAAGAAGGCCUUCGGGUUGUAAACCGCUUUUGGUCGGGAAGAAAAGGCGUCGGUUAAUACCUGGCGUUCUUGACGGUACCGGCAGAAUAAGCACCGGCUAACUACGUGCCAGCAGCCGCGGUAAUACGUAGGGUGCGAGCGUUAAUCGGAAUUACUGGGCGUAAAGCGUGCGCAGGCGGUUCGUUAUGUCCGAUGUGAAAGCCCCGAGCUUAACUUGGGAAUGGCAUUGGAAACUGGCGGGCUGGAGUGCGGCAGAGGGGGGUGGAAUUCCACGUGUAGCAGUGAAAUGCGUAGAGAUGUGGAGGA